UUAAGCGAAUAAGCGUACACGGUGGAUGCCUAGGCAAUCAGAGGCGAUGAAGGACGUGCUAAUCUGCGAAAAGCGUCGGUAAGGUGAUAUGAACCGUUAUACCCGACGAUAUCCGAAUGGGGAAACCCAGUAUCCAAUGGAUACUAUCAUUAACUGAAUCCAUAGGUUAAUGAGGCGAACCGGGAGAACUGAAACAUCUCAGUACCCCGAGGAAAAGAAAUCAACCGAGAUUCCCCUAGUAGCGGCGAGCGAACGGGGAGCAGCCCAGAGUCUUAAUCAAUAGCAGUGUCAGGAGAACGGUCUGGAAAGUCCGGCAGUAAAGGGUGAUAGCCCCGUAUCUGAAGAUGCUGUUAUUGUGAACUCGACGAGUAGGGCGGGACACGUGUUAUCCUGUCUGAAUAUGGGGGGACCAUCCUCCAAGGCUAAAUACUCCUGAUUGACCGAUAGUGAACCAGUACCGUGAGGGAAAGGCGAAAAGAACCCCGGCGAGGGGAGUGAAAAAGAACCUGAAACCGUGUACGUACAAGCAGUAGGAGCCUCUUUAUGGGGUGACUGCGUACCUUUUGUAUAAUGGGUCAGCGACUUAUAUUCUGUAGCGAGGUUAACCGUAUAGGGGAGCCGUAGGGAAACCGAGUCUUAACUGGGCGAAUGAGUUGCAGGGUAUAGACCCGAAACCCGGUGAUCUAUCCAUGGGCAGGUUGAAGGUUGGGUAACACUAACUGGAGGACCGAACCGACUAAUGUUGAAAAAUUAGCGGAUGACUUGUGGAUGGGGGUGAAAGGCCAAUCAAACCGGGAGAUAGCUGGUUCUCCCCGAAAGCUAUUUAGGUAGCGCCUCGUGAACUCAUCUUCGGGGGUAGAGCACUGUUUCGACUAGGGGGUCAUCCCGACUUACCAACUCGAUGCAAACUGCGAAUACCGAAGAAUGUUAUCACGGGAGACACACGGCGGGUGCUAACGUCCGUCGUGAAGAGGGAAACAACCCAGACCGCCAGCUAAGGUCCCAAAGUCAUGGUUAAGUGGGAAACGAAGUGGGAAGGCUCAGACAGCCAGGAUGUUGGCUUAGAAGCAGCCAUCAUUUAAAGAAAGCGUAAUAGCUCACUGGUCGAGUCGGCCCGCGCGGAAGAUGUAACGGGGCUAAACCAUGCACCGAAGCUGCGGCAGCGACACAAAGUGUUGUUGGGUAGGGGAGCGUUCUGUAAGCCUGCGAAGGUGUACUGUGAGGUAUGCUGGAGGUAUCAGAAGUGCGAAUGCUGACAUAAGUAACGAUAAUGCGGGUGAAAAACCCGCACGCCGGAAGACCAAGGGUUCCUGUCCAACGUUAAUCGGGGCAGGGUGAGUCGACCCCUAAGGCGAGGCUGAAAAGCGUAGUCGAUGGGAAACGGGUUAAUAUUCCCGUACUGGUGGUAACUGCGAUGGGGGAACGGAGAAGGCUAGGUUGUCCGGGCGACGGUCGUCCCGGUUCAAGCAGGUAGGCAGAGUGAUUAGGCAAAUCCGGUCACUUAAUGCUGAGAUGUGAUGACGAACCACCAAGGUGGUGAAGCAAUUGAUGCCCCGCUUCCAGGAAAAGCCUCUAAGCUUCAGGUUACCAACAAUCGUACCCCAAACCGACACAGGUGGUCAGGUAGAGAAUACUCAGGCGCUUGAGAGAACUCGGGUGAAGGAACUAGGCAAAAUGGUGCCGUAACUUCGGGAGAAGGCACGCUGGCGGUAGGUAAAGUCCCUCGCGGACGGCGCUGAAGCCAGUCGAAGAUACCAGCUGGCUGCAACUGUUUAUUAAAAACACAGCACUGUGCAAACACGAAAGUGGACGUAUACGGUGUGACGCCUGCCCGGUGCUGGAAGGUUAAUUGAUGGGGUUAGCGUAAGCGAAGCUCCUGAUCGAAGCCCCAGUAAACGGCGGCCGUAACUAUAACGGUCCUAAGGUAGCGAAAUUCCUUGUCGGGUAAGUUCCGACCUGCACGAAUGGCGUAAUGAUGGCCAGGCUGUCUCCACCCGAGACUCAGUGAAAUUGAACUCGCUGUGAAGAUGCAGUGUACCCGCGGCAAGACGGAAAGACCCCGUGAACCUUUACUAUAGCUUGACACUGAACAUUGAGCCUUGAUGUGUAGGAUAGGUGGGAGGCUUUGAAGUGUGGACGCCAGUCUGCAUGGAGCCAACCUUGAAAUACCACCCUUUAACGUUUGAUGUUCUAACCUAGGCCCAUAAACUGGGUCGGGGACCGUGUCUGGUGGGUAGUUUGACUGGGGCGGUCUCCUCCUAAAGAGUAACGGAGGAGCACGAAGGUUGGCUAAGCAUGGUCGGACAUCAUGCGGUUAGUGCAAAGGCAUAAGCCAGCUUGACUGCGAGAGUGACGGCUCGAGCAGGUACGAAAGUAGGUCUUAGUGAUCCGGUGGUUCUGAAUGGAAGGGCCAUCGCUCAACGGAUAAAAGGUACUCCGGGGAUAACAGGCUGAUACCGCCCAAGAGUUCAUAUCGACGGCGGUGUUUGGCACCUCGAUGUCGGCUCAUCACAUCCUGGGGCUGAAGUAGGUCCCAAGGGUAUGGCUGUUCGCCAUUUAAAGUGGUACGCGAGCUGGGUUUAGAACGUCGUGAGACAGUUCGGUCCCUAUCUGCCGUGGGCGUUGGAAGAUUGAGAGGGGUUGCUCCUAGUACGAGAGGACCGGAGUGAACGCACCACUGGUGUUCGGGUUGUCAUGCCAAUGGCAUUGCCCGGUAGCUAAGUGCGGAAGAGAUAACCGCUGAAAGCAUCUAAGCGGGAAACUUGCCUCGAGAUGAGUCUUCCCUGUCGCUUUAAGUGACCUAAAGGAACGUUUAAGACUAAGACGUUGAUAGGCUGGGUGUGUAAGCGUAGCGAUACGUUGAGCUAACCAGUACUAAUGAACCGUGAGGCUUAACCUG
rnacentral:rRNA from 1 species